GCUAACUGGAGAAUGGCCUCAGUCUGACUGCUCUGGUAGAUGGUAGAGUCAUGAUGGCACAUCACCUUGUUGGGAAAAGAACAUUUUGAGAUUGAAUCUUUCCAGUGGAAAAGUUCUUCAGUGCUAAGCUGUGUCAAGCUGGCACCUCAAACUAAGGAGGACCACCACCACUGCUUACAGGAAUGAACAGUUCCAAAAUGGGGAGUUGUGCUGGUGCUGCAGCUUGAAGCCAGGGUCUCACACAUGAUAGACAAGUGCUUUACCAAAGAGCUACAACCCUCACUUGCAGGAAAGUUAUUGGGUACAAGUGAACUAAAAUACAACCAAAAAGCAGAAACAAGAUAUUAAUAGAAAGAAAAAUUGAAAUUAAAUAUCUAUACUAGGG
rnacentral:lncRNA from 1 species